AGAUCGAGUGUUCGUACCACCUUUACCUGCAAAUGUCAUUGAGCUCCGAACUCGAAUUAUUGCCUCAGUUACAGAAGUGACACCAGAGAUGCUACGUAGCGUGUGGCAAGAGACUGACUACAGGUGGGACGUCUGCCGCAUUACCAAUGGAAGUCACAUUGAACCAUAACUAUCGGAGCGAUGUAUUUUACUGACAUCUGAGACCCCACGCUAUAGGAAGAUCGGUGAUCGAUUCAUUCCAACACGCAAUAGAAACAACUGGCCAACUAAAUUUGUCACUGCCACAGAGGAUUGCCUUAGUGGACUAACAAGAAAGGCUACUGAGAAUGGCCGCUGGAAUUGUGAUGGAUCACCAUACUCAUGUCUUCUGAGGAAUGAACUG